ACACUGGAACAGACUUCCUGAUUCACAUCAACCAGCCAGGCCUGAUCCUUUCAUUACAAGGCGAGUGCUGACCUCACCUUGCAAAGCUCUCUGAAGUGUCUGAGCAGAGGGUCCACUCCUCCCCGGCAUACCUUUGCAGCAAUAUCCUGGCAGAUACUUUAUGUCAUGUUGCCAUGAACUGCAUUGUUCUGCCCCAAGCCCCAGGCUACUGGAAAAAAUGGUUGAAGACCUGAAAACUGUGACCCCUGUUGCCUAGCAACUGAGAAGCUCAGCCUCAACUCCGGGUGGGGGAGAUGAUGGAGAAAGGUACUGCAUUUUGAUAAAUUGAAGGUUUGUGGAACGCUGCAUUGAGCAAGUCUAUUGGUACCAUUUUCCAACAGCAUGUGCUCACUUCAUGUCUCUGUGCCACAUUUGCAAUGCUUCUCCAGCUCGAGAGCACAUCAUCACCUGGAGAGCUCAUGAAAACAGAUUGCUGGGCUUCAUCCUCGAGUUUCUGAUUCAGUAGGGCAGGGUGGGGACUAAGAAUAUUCAUUUCUAAUGAGUUCCAGUGGUGCUGAUGUUUCCAGUCCAGGGAUCACCGGUGGAGACCCAUUAGUCUAUGCCAUCCUAGUCCCACCCGCCUGACACCUCAUGCUCACCAGAAGGACACCUUGGGCUGACCAGAGAGGAGGGUUUCUGUGUGAGAAGCGAUUUGUGAAUGCAUCUCAUAAAUGCCCUGCUCUCAGCUGCUGAACAUUCUCCUGCUGAAAGGCAGGGAGCUAAUUAGCACAGCCACCUCGACAGCGUCUGUUCCAGUCACCCCUGCAUGCAUGCUAGAACACCUUUGAACAAUGGAUGACAGUCUGCAGAGAGCACAGAGCUCCCGGAGAACAUAAAAAUGCAAUGGAACAGAAUGAAGGGAUGCAAGUCACAAUCGUCUCAACUGCAAGUUGGCCAAAGUAAACAUUGCCCCAAAGUGCUCCCAAAGCUUGCUGGCACAUAAACAUGAAUGAAUGAACAAUGUAGAAUUCACUCAAGAAAUUUCAAGGAGAGAGAGGAGGAGAUUUACAUCACACAGCAAACAACCUAAUAAAUCUGUUAAACGCCAUGCAUGUGAAUAGGCGUUUUCCUCUUUUUGACCCUUUCUU
ensembl:lncRNA novel transcript